rnacentral:rRNA from 1 species
AUGAACGCUAGCGACAGGCUUAACACAUGCAAGUCGAGGGGCAGCACAGGUAGCAAUACCGGGUGGCGACCGGCGCACGGGUGAGUAACGCGUAUGCAACUUACCUAUCAGAGGGGGAUAACCCGGCGAAAGUCGGACUAAUACCGCAUGAAGCAGGGGCCCCGCAUGGGGAUAUUUGCUAAAGAUUCAUCGCUGAUAGAUAGGCAUGCGUUCCAUUAGGCAGUUGGCGGGGUAACGGCCCACCAAACCGACGAUGGAUAGGGGUUCUGAGAGGAAGGUCCCCCACAUUGGUACUGAGACACGGACCAAACUCCUACGGGAGGCAGCAGUGAGGAAUAUUGGUCAAUGGGCGUAAGCCUGAACCAGCCAAGUCGCGUGAGGGAUGAAGGUUCUAUGGAUCGUAAACCUCUUUUAUAAGGGAAUAAAGUGCGGGACGUGUCCCGUUUUGUAUGUACCUUAUGAAUAAGGAUCGGCUAACUCCGUGCCAGCAGCCGCGGUAAUACGGAGGAUCCGAGCGUUAUCCGGAUUUAUUGGGUUUAAAGGGUGCGUAGGCGGCCUUUUAAGUCAGCGGUGAAAGUCUGUGGCUCAACCAUAGAAUUGCCGUUGAAACUGGGAGGCUUGAGUAUGUUUGAGGCAGGCGGAAUGCGUGGUGUAGCGGUGAAAUGCUUAGAUAUCACGCAGAACCCCGAUUGCGAAGGCAGCCUGCCAAGCCAUGACUGACGCUGAUGCACGAAAGCGUGGGGAUCAAACAGGAUUAGAUACCCUGGUAGUCCACGCAGUAAACGAUGAUCACUAGCUGUUUGCGAUACAGUGUAAGCGGCACAGCGAAAGCGUUAAGUGAUCCACCUGGGGAGUACGCCGGCAACGGUGAAACUCAAAGGAAUUGACGGGGGCCCGCACAAGCGGAGGAACAUGUGGUUUAAUUCGAUGAUACGCGAGGAACCUUACCCGGGUUUGAACGCAUUCGGACCGAGGUGGAAACACCUUUUCUAGCAAUAGCCGUUUGCGAGGUGCUGCAUGGUUGUCGUCAGCUCGUGCCGUGAGGUGUCGGCUUAAGUGCCAUAACGAGCGCAACCCUUAUCGAUAGUUACCAUCAGGUGAUGCUGGGGACUCUGUCGAGACUGCCGUCGUAAGAUGUGAGGAAGGUGGGGAUGACGUCAAAUCAGCACGGCCCUUACAUCCGGGGCGACACACGUGUUACAAUGGCGUGGACAAAGGGAAGCCACCUGGCGACAGGGAGCGAAUCCCCAAACCACGUCUCAGUUCGGAUCGGAGUCUGCAACCCGACUCCGUGAAGCUGGAUUCGCUAGUAAUCGCGCAUCAGCCAUGGCGCGGUGAAUACGUUCCCGGGCCUUGUACACACCGCCCGUCAAGCCAUGGGAGCCGGGGGUACCUGAAGUCCGUAACCGCGAGGAUCGGCCUAGGGUAAAACUGGUGACUGGGGCU